CAGAUUUUAGGAUCCUGGGAACUGCCAUCGAAUUCGAUCGACGAGCAGGAGGAACAAAACCCAGAGCAGAAAAAAAUUUGAAAAAAAAAUGGGAUACGUACUGAGAGUGAGGACAGCAUCGUUCUUCGCGGGUGCAGCGGUGGCUUCUGCCAUGGGAAUUUAUGCUCUGCAACAGGAUUACAAAAAUGCCCAUCGCACCCAUUCUCAGCAGGCGAUUGGCCUUUACCAGUCUUUGGAGGGAAGGAUCUCAGCUUUGGAAAAGUCACAAGAAGUUCAGCCUGCAAAAUCUGUUCAAGCUGCACCUUAGAAGUUAUAAGCUGUGCUUUUCUGAGUAGCAGUUGACUACUUCUCGACCCUUUUGAGGUUUCAAGCAUAUUUAGGUUUUGUUGUGUAAGGGUUCUGUGUGAUGGAAAACCAAACUGUCUUCACAUCAGAAUUUCACUAGUUAUGUAUUCAUAGUGGGAAUCAAUGGAAUGGACCUUGAAUUUGCAACUUCUUGUGGUUUAUUGUGUUUGUUGUAGCUUUUAUUCACAGGAGUUUGUUUGUUGUGAAUAUCUCAUCGACAAAUAAUAUGACUUAUUGAAUAUUUCUUUCCAAUA